rnacentral:rRNA from 1 species
GCAUAUCAAUAAGCGGAGGAAAAGAAACCAACAGGGAUUGCCCUAGUAACGGCGAGUGAAGCGGCAACAGCUCAAAUUUGAAAUCUGGCUCUUUUAGAGUCCGAGUUGUAAUUUGCAGAGGGCGCUUUGGCUUUGGCAGCGGUCCAAGUUCCUUGGAACAGGACGUCACAGAGGGUGAGAAUCCCGUACGUGGUCGCUAGCUAUUGCCGUGUAAAGCCCCUUCGACGAGUCGAGUUGUUUGGGAAUGCAGCUCUAAAUGGGAGGUAAAUUUCUUCUAAAGCUAAAUAUUGGCCAGAGACCGAUAGCGCACAAGUAGAGUGAUCGAAAGAUGAAAAGCACUUUGGAAAGAGAGUCAAACAGCACGUGAAAUUGUUGAAAGGGAAGCGCUUGCAGCCAGACUUGCUUGCAGUUGCUCAUCCGGGCUUUUGCCCGGUGCACUCUUCUGUAGGCAGGCCAGCAUCAGUUUGGGCGGUGGGAUAAAGGUCUCUGUCACGUACCUCUCUUCGGGGAGGCCUUAUAGGGGAGACGACAUACCACCAGCCUAGACUGAGGUCCGCGCAUCUGCUAGGAUGCUGGCGUAAUGGCUGUAAGCGGCCCGUCUUGAAACACGGACCAAGGAGUCUAACAUCUAUGCGAGUGUUUGGGUGUCAAGCCCGAGCGCGUAAUGAAAGUGAACGGAGGUGGGAACCCGCAAGGGUGCACCAUCGACCGAUCCUGAAGUUUUCGGAAGGAUUUGAGUAAGAGCAUGGCUGUUGGGACCCGAAAGAUGGUGAACUAUGCUUGAAUAGGGUGAAGCCAGAGGAAACUCUGGUGGAGGCUCGCAGCGGUUCUGACGUGCAAAUCGAUCGUCAAAUUUGGGCAUAGGGGCGAAAGACUAAUCGAACUAUCUAGUAGCUGGGUUCCUGCCGAG